AUUGAACGCUGGCGGCAGGCUUAACACAUGUAAGUCGAGCGGGGUGAUGGUGCUUGCACUAUCACUUAGCGGAGGACGGGUGAGUAAUGCUUAGGAAUGUGCCUAGUAAUGGGGGACAAAAUCUCGAAAGGGAUGCGAAUACCGAAUACGUCUUACGGGAGAAAGCAGAGGAUCACUUGUGACCUUGCGCUAAUAGAUGAGCCUAAGUCGGAUUAGCUAGUUGGUGGGGUAAAGGCCUACCAAGGCGACGAUCUGUAGCGGGUCUGAGAGGAUGAUCCGCCACACUGGGACUGAGACACGGCCCAGACUCCUACGGGAGGCAGCAGUGGGGAAUAUUGGACAAUGGGGGGAACCCUGAUCCAGCCAUGCCGCGUGUGUGAAGAAGGCCUUAUGGUUGUAAAGCACUUUAAGCGAGGAGGAGGCUCUUUUGGUUAAUACCCAAGAUGAGUGGACGUUACUCGCAGAAUAAGCACCGGCUAACUCUGUGCCAGCAGCCGCAGUAA
rnacentral:rRNA from 1 species